rnacentral:lncRNA from 10 species
GAAAGGACUAGCCUUGUCUCAGAUGACACUUUGGACUUUGGAGUUUUGAGUUAAUGUUGGAAUAAGUUAAGACUUUAGGGGACUGUUGGGAAGGCAUGAUUGUAUUUUGAAAUUUGAGAAGGACAUAAAAUUUGGGAGGGGGCAGGGGUAGAAUCAUAUGGUCUGGAUAUGACCCUGUCCAAAUCUCAAGUCUCAUUGUAAUUCCCAGUUUCGGAGGUAGGGUCUGGUGGGAGGUGAUUGGAUCAUGGAGGUGGAGUUCUCAUUAAUGAUUUAGAGCCAUCCCCUUUGUUAUGGUAUAGUGAGUGAGUUAUCAUGAGAUCUCAUUGUUUAAAAGUGUGUGGUACCUCCCACCUCUCUCUCUUGCUCCUGCUCUGGCCAUGUAAGACGUGCCUGCUUCCCCUUCACCUUCCUCCGUGAUUUUAAGUUACCCGAGGUCUUCCCAAAAGCCCAAGCCACUAUGCUUCCUGAACAGC